rnacentral:rRNA from 1 species
UACGGAAGGUGCAAGCGUUGUUCGGAAUGACUGGGCGUAAAGAGCAUGUAGGCGGGCGAGCAAGUCGAUUGUGAAAGCCCAGGGCUUAACCCUGGAACUGCACUCGAAACUGCUUGUCUUGAGUGCCCGAGAGGUUGGCGGAAUUCCAGGUGUAGGAGUGAAAUCCGUAGAUAUCUGGAGGAAUACCAGCGGCGAAGGCGGCCAACUGGCGGUGCACUGACGCUGAGAUGCGAAAGCGUGGGGAGCAAAC